rnacentral:rRNA from 1 species
GUGCUAUACAUGCAGUCGAACGAACUCUGGUAUUGAUUGGUGCUUGCAUCAUGAUUUACAUUUGAGUGAGUGGCGAACUGGUGAGUAACACGUGGGAAACCUGCCCAGAAGCGGGGGAUAACACCUGGAAACAGAUGCUAAUACCGCAUAACAACUUGGACCGCAUGGUCCGAGCUUGAAAGAUGGCUUUGGCUAUCACUUUUGGAUGGUCCCGCGGCGUAUUAGCUAGAUGGUGGGGUAACGGCUCACCAUGGCAAUGAUACGUAGCCGACCUGAGAGGGUAAUCGGCCACAUUGGGACUGAGACACGGCCCAAACUCCUACGGGAGGCAGCAGUAGGGAAUCUUCCACAAUGGACGAAAGUCUGAUGGAGCAACGCCGCGUGAGUGAAGAAGGGUUUCGGCUCGUAAAACUCUGUUGUUAAAGAAGAACAUAUCUGAGAGUAACUGUUCAGGUAUUGACGGUAUUUAACCAGAAAGCCACGGCUAACUACGUGCCAGCAGCCGCGGUAAUACGUAGGUGGCAAGCGUUGUCCGGAUUUAUUGGGCGUAAAGCGAGCGCAGGCGGUUUUUUAAGUCUGAUGUGAAAGCCUUCGGCUCAACCGAAGAAGUGCAUCGGAAACUGGGAAACUUGAGUGCAGAAGAGGACAGUGGAACUCCAUGUGUAGCGGUGAAAUGCGUAGAUAUAUGGAAGAACACCAGUGGCGAAGGCGGCUGUCUGGUCUGUAACUGACGCUGAGGCUCGAAAGUAUGGGUAGCAAACAGGAUUAGAUACCCUGGUAGUCCAUACCGUAAACGAUGAAUGCUAAGUGUUGGAGGGUUUCCGCCCUUCAGUGCUGCAGC